rnacentral:rRNA from 1 species
CAAUAGCGUAUAUUUAAGUUGCUGCAGUUAAAAAGCUCGUAGUUGGAUUUCGGGUGGGAAUGGCCGGUCCGCCGUUUCGGUGUGCACUUGCUACGCCCACCUUGCAGCCGGGGACGUGCUCUUGAGUUCACGCUCGGGACACGGAGUCGGCGAGGUUACUUUGAGUAAAUUAGAGUGUUCAAAGCAGGCCUACGCUCUGAAUACAUUAGCAUGGAAUAACACGAUAGGACUCUGGCCUAUCUUGUUGGUCUGUAGGACCGGAGUAAUGAUUAAGAGGGACAGUCGGGGGCAUUCGUAUUUCAUUGUCAGAGGUGAAAUUCUUGGAUUUAUGAAAGACGAACUACUGCGAAAGCAUUUGCCAAGGAUGUUUUCAUUAA